UACGUAGGGUGCGAGCGUUACUCGGAUUCACUGGGCGUAAAGGGAGCGCAGGCGGAAUCGUGUGUCGGAUGUGAAAUCCUGGAGCUCAACUCCAGAACUGCCUUUGAUACUGAAGAUCUUGAGUUCGGGAGAGGUGAGUGGAACUGCGAGUGUAGAGGUGAAAUUCGUAGAUAUUCGCAAGAACACCAGUGGCGAAGGCGGCUCACUGGCCCGAUACUGACGCUGAGACGCGAAAGCAUGGGGAGCAAACAGG
rnacentral:rRNA from 1 species